rnacentral:tRNA from 1 species
AAUCUGAGUUGCAUUCAGGGGAUGUAGGUUAAUAUCCUGCAAGUCCUA